GGCAUUCCCACCACAUGUGAAGAUAUGUGCCCUUGAGGCCGCACCCCGGCCAGCAUAGGUCUGUAGUAAUUUGAUUCAUACGGCUCAACUUUACCGGUGUAGCAUACCAUCGAAAUAGCGUAGUCCUCUAUGCAGCGAGACACACAUAGAGGACUGCGCGUCUCUCCCAUAUUUCUUGCCAUUCCACUCCCUUCAACGUCUCUCCUAAUUCUGCCUCCCCGUGGUCUAUGUAUGUAGUUCCUCCCCAUUC